AAUCAACGCUGGCGGCGUGCCUAACACAUGCAAGUCGAGCGGGAAAGGGGGCUUCGGUCCCUGAGUAUAGCGGCGGACGGGUGAGUAACACGUGGGUAAUUUGCCCUUGGGUGUGGAAUAACUCAGGGAAACUUGAGCUAAUACCGCAUGACAUCCCCUUCUCACAGGAGUUGGGGAUCAAAGCCGGGGACCCUUCGGGGCCUGGCGCCUGAGGAGAAGCCCGCGCCCGAUUAGCUAGUUGGNGAGGUAAUGGCUCACCAAGGCUUCGAUCGGUAGCCGGCCUGAGAGGGCGGACGGCCACACUGGGACUGAGACACGGCCC
rnacentral:rRNA from 1 species